UCUCUUCUCCAGUCUAGUUGUGCCUAACAAAGGGAUAGACAGUGCGCUACGUGCCUUCUGCCGCCGUGCUGCAUUGAGGAAGAGGUCGCUUCAUCUCUUCUAUUUGGUUGGCGGUAAUAGCGCCGGUGGUGUGUGCUCAACCAGCCCCCACAGCGGAGGAGGAGACUGUGGGAAGCAUGAGCGUUGUCCCCUCUCCACUCCCUCUCUCUCCUCCCGCCACAAGGACCCAGCCUCUCUCUCUCUCUGCUUGGUUAUGCAAUGCACGUCUAUCCCACGGCACAGCUUGCACAGGGGACCCGCCACAACACAGCCACCACCAGCUGCAGGUGCAGACCAACACAGCAACAGCUACGCAGCAGCACUCAGGCUUUCUAGCUCUCUGGUUCUCCACACACAGCUCUCUGGGAUUUUACUGUUCUACCUGGCUCUUUGGAAUACCACUUGCUGAGGGGUGGGCUGUCUGUAGUAUCCACCUAGUGUGGUUGUAGCCGCCGCAAGCGCUACCGUCUCCAGAGUAACCAUGCGCGGCUGUGCCUCCGGGGUUCAGCGGUAGGCGAGAGAGAGGCGUCACUGAAAGGCACUAAUUGCUCUGCUUCCGAAAGUGGGAAAGCAAGAAAGGAGGAGAGAAGAGGGGGCGUGUACAUUUGUCACAGAGACUGUGGCGCUCUCUCUUUGAGCUGCUAAGAGGGUCAAAGAGACAAGAAGAGCUGAGGAGGAAGAAGAGGGGGGCUGUGGUGGAAUUUGGAAUUGGAGAGAAAGGGGCGGGAGGAUGGGGAUAGUAGUGGGGAGGAAGGGGGAGCGUAUGGGAGAGGGUUUCUCCAAGCCCCAUAGUGCUUCAGCUUUGGUGGUGGAGACCUGAGGAAUAAAAUAACAAAAGCAAAAAAGGAGACUAUAGCGCAACCAAAACCAAGGCAGCAUUUAACCCAGGGGGUGGCGCAGAGGACUGGAGAACUCAUACGGGCAAGAAGGGUGUGAUUUUUCACAGAGAGCAGGUGUCUGCGCAGAGCCACGCACCAAGGCUCAGUUGGGAGCCAGGAUCUCCUUUUCCUUUUCUUUCCUUCUCUUGGCUACGCAGCCAGCCUCCCCCUGUCCCCCGCUUCCUCCUAAUGCAGGCUCCCGUGUGUGGCCAUGCUUCUCCAUUGAGGACCCAAAAGCAUGCUGGAUGUCACCCCACUCUUCACGCUGUAGGAUAAGUGCCAGCAGCACCCCUGCCAGGUUGAGCGAGCAUUAUGGCCAUGGGUCCCACGGUCAUCACAAUUGAGGAGGUGCGGGCGCUGGAGAGCAAGGAGGAGCAGGAGGAGUCCAUUUUGGCCUUGCUGGGCAUCGUUGGCACCUUCCUCAACCUCUUCGUCAUCGUCUUUGUUUACAUCUACACUGUCGUGUGAGCCAGAGUGAUCCCCCAAACGACAAGGCACAAACCAAGAUUCCUUUUAACCCCAACCAACAUAUACUGGAUUUGAAAUCCCAAGCUCCUCCUCCCCCUAACUGGAUACUAGUUAUAAAAACAACACGAGCAGUUUGCCCACACAGAGAAUGAGGGUGGACAGUUAUGUGGAGGUGUCUCACAGCCAUGAACCAGGGAGAUAACAGUGAGCUGGUGGCUACAUCAUGACCAUAGCUGUGCUGGAUCUGGAUCCAGGAUGGGCAGACAGACACUGGCCUUGGCCCAGCCAGGGUUCACUUUCCUGGGCUACAGGCCAGCACAGCCUGGGCUGGAACUAACUUCAACCUUGGACUCAUUGACUUGGACUCAAUGGCGUGAUGAGGGAAACAGUGUUACUGACAAAUCUUCCUUGUCAAAUGGAUUAUAAAAACGGAAGAAGGGACACAGUCACUGGCCUGGACGGUUUAAGGGGCAUGGCGUGGAGAAGGCAGUGCAUGCACAGAACACUGGGAAGCCAUUACAGAUGAACUGUACACCCCCAUAUCCCAUUGGUAAUCUUCCAGGGACAGCAUUUUAAACUGCUUGGCGGCUGUCACAGCGCACGUUACCCCGGCAAUGUGGCUCUGGAGUAGCUUUAAUGUAAUGUGCUGCUUGCCGUCAGAUAGGCCACACGCGUACACACGCAAGUGUUAGUCACCGCUUCUCAUGAUCUGACAGAUCACAACAGAGCGAUCUCGUCUGUAUCUCGCACCCGGCAAGAACUGAUCUGCAAGGAGAGCAGGAGUGGCAAUGACAAAGAAACAUUUCUAUUCAAAUUGACCACCUGGUACUUCAAAACCAAACUGGAGAUCUGCAAUAAAAAGGCUAGUGGAGAGAAAGAGUGAUAGGAGAGCCUGCGGUGGUGAUGAAAUCAUCCGCAGGGGUGGGAAAGGACCUUGUGGGCGCCAGAAAAAAAGCUCCAUUACGCAUUUACUAAUACUUACACUUCUACUGUCUCUUUCCACGUUCUGUUCGGUUAUUCUGUUCAUGUUGAUUUCAGGGUAGUGUCAGCAAUCCUGUUUCUGUAUAAAAAUCUAAGCUUUUAUAAAUAUAUGGAUAACUCUAGAUGUACUGUGCUAUAGGGAAAAUGUAAACAAUAAAAUUUGAAUAUAUGAAUUA